rnacentral:misc_RNA from 1 species
UGGUGACCUUGACGAAUGGCCCGGAGGUCACAAGUUUCACAGCUCUAGAAGGGGCAUUUGAUGUGUAGACAUUGGAGUUGGUAGUCUCGAGGGAAGAUUGAAUGGGAGAUAACUUUUAGAUUAUACAUAGCAUGUUAAUGUCUUGUACAUGGAGAUGUAAAAUUUUUAUUUGUCUUUCAUUGUUUGUUAUAUUAAGUAAUUUCAGGGACAAUAACCUAGCACUGUUUUGCUAUUAUUGUUCAUGUUUUGCAUUACUACCAGAUUUCUUGAUCGUUAUCAGACUGAAUUAUUUUUUAUCAACUUCAUGCAUGAGAGGAUACUAAUUUUGGGGCAUGUUAAAUUUUUUUUUUUCUAGUUCUUUGUUAAUCAUGAUUUCAAUCUGUCUUGUUUCUGUGCCGAAGUAACUAGGCUAUCCAGUUCACUUGCUGGCAUGCUUCAUGUUACAUGGGAAAUGCUGGUAGGGAAUGAGACUAGUGGAAGUUCUGUGUCGCAGAAGAACUGAAGCAAGACCUUUACAGUGUAAGAGAUACCAGGAUCAAUACAUGAAACCUUAUGCUUGGCUGAAGUUCCAUUGUAGGAGUUUGAUAACUUAAUACUGUACAAGUUCAAUGAUAUUUUACUCAUUACACCUAUCGAGUUUGGUUUGGGGCUCAUUUCUAUGUAGUUUAACACGUAAUAGAUUGCUUAAUAGCCGUUCAAAUAUUUUUUCUUGCCAUUAAAAUUAGCAGAUACAGAUUAGAAAUGUGAGAGAACGCACCAAAAUGCUAUUAUUUUGCAGCAUACUUGCACCAUUAACAUCAGUUAUAGAAAGGCGUUUUAUUUGUAGUAGCGGGUGUCAGUAUCAGUUUUAUUGUAAUGUUCUGUCACUAUCUGGAUCUGUUCAAGUCAUAUAGUGCAACUCUCACUUUAAUACCGGAAAGUUAUAAUACAUUUUAUACUUGUAUAUGUAUAAUUUGAUCAAUAAGUACACUUAAUAUUGAAAAAAGGAUCUUCAUGUACAAAUAAAUUUACACUGUUAUCAGUUAUCCUGUUUAAAAAGAGUUUCCACUCGUAGCUUUAGAUUUCAGUGCUGUUGUGUUUAAAGUAUUUAUUGGAAUUGUACUAGUUUUAACUGUUCUUCUGCAUUUAACUUUUCCUCCUUUAAUGAGUUGUGUUAUGAAUUAACCCAUACAUGAAUUACCCAGAUUCUGCAAAGAUUUGCUUAGUUAAAUUGCCUCUCUUUGAAUUGGACCCAUUUCUGUAAACUUACUGCAAAAAUGUGAUUUGAAAUAUUUCAUUUCAUUUUGAUUUGAAUGCUAAUACAUGUACACAGAAAAAUCAAUGGAACCUCAAUGUAACAAUUAUGUGAGUUAAGUGACCAACCUAAACACCUCAUCAUUUACGUAAAAAGAAAAUCCAGCGCAUUGAUUGUAAAUAAGGAUGUAUUUUUAUCUACAUUUACCUGUGCACACCUGUAUAUAUGUAUUGUCUACAUUGCUGUUACCAUGGUUAUUUACCUUAUAGUGCUGUUUGCUAUCAUGAUUGAUGUCCAAUGUUCAAAGAAAAAAACUUUAUAAAAUUGUGAAAACCUC